rnacentral:lncRNA from 1 species
CAGUGCCCUUUAAUCACUGACCCCAUGUGAGUCCUGUCCACAUGAUCACACCCACGUGGGAUUGUGGAGAGACGGCACCAGUGGAGCUGGGGCAGAGAGGGACUCUGCUCUCUGGAGCUUUGACAAAGUGGAUGAAACAAUUAUCUUCGUUAUCGGCUGGAGCAGUAGAAAUGUGAUAGUUGGGAGAUUUCUGCAGGUGGAAGGCCUUGGCUGGGGAUCAAAACCAAUGAGAGAGGAUGUGACUGCUGGGGAUUCUCUCCCGAUAAUGCAGCCGGGCCACCGGACGACUAGCGAGUCAGCAGGGGUUGCACACAGCAUAUGUAAGCAGAAAGUGUCUCUGGAUGGAAAGUGAUUCCUACUGAAAGUGCUGUCACACUCUGAACUGCAAGCAGAAUGAUCCAAAUUCCUUCCUGGGGGAAGAAGGUGAGCAAGAGGGCUCUGGGAAGAGGG